AUGGGAACGCGAAGAACCUUACCUAGACUUGACAUCUCCUGAAUAGUGUAGAGAUACAUGAAGCCCUUCGGGGCAGGAAGACAGGUGGUGCAUGGUUGUCGUCAGCUCGUGUCGUGAGAUGUUGGGUUAAGUCCCGCAACGAGCGCAACCCUUAUCAUUAGUUGCUACCAUUUAGUUGAGCACUCUAGUGAGACUGCCCGGGUUAACCGGGGAGGAAGGCGGGGAUGACGUACAAAUCAUCAUCGCCCCUUAUGUCGUAGGGCUACACACGUGCUACAAUGGUGAGAACAACGAGAUGCAAUACCGCGAGGUGGAGACAAAACUUACAAACUCAUCUCAGUUCGGAUUGUAGGCUAGAACUCGCCUACAUGAAGUUGAGUUGCUAAGUAAUCGCGAAUCAGAAUGUCGCGGUGAAUAC
rnacentral:rRNA from 1 species